CCUGCCCCAACAGGAAGUGAAAAGAGGAUGGUGAGCUUUUCUGGUGCUUCUGACACAGCUGUCGGGAGACUCAGCAAACAGUCUGCAGUUUCUGGAGCUGCUCUGAGUCCUGUCAGGUUUCCAUCUGAGCAAUUUCCUCUUCCAAGCAUCCCAAUGCCUGUGGAUGGCCCAUCUGGGUGGCCAGCCCUGCUCUCCCUGCUUCUGGCCGUGGCGAUGCCUUUUUUCUGCUCAGCCAUAUCCAUAGAUGAAGCAUGGAACCAGCUGUUGAUGAGAGAGAAGAUGAUGCAGCUGGGGGGGCAGCUGGUGCUGACCGAACAGGAGGAGCUAGCCAAUGAGAGGCUCAUGGCCCUCAAAAAGGCUGAGGUGACACAGGCGAUGAGGACCCAGAAGUUCCCUCCCAGCAUGCACUUUUUCCGGGCCAAGACUCUCAUUGAGAAAAGUGAGGUGUUUAAUAUCCUGAAGAAGAUGCCAAAAGGGGCUGCCUUACACGUCCAUGACUUCAGCAUCCUGAGUAUGAACUGGCUGGUGAAAAAUGUCACGUACAGGCCCCACUGCCAUUUCUGUGUCACCCCAAGCGGGUACUUGAAGUUCAAAUUUGCUUAUCCAGCUCCCCCCACUCCUAAACCAGCAGAGUGUUCGGAGUGGGUUUUGCUGGAGAAAUAUCGAAAGGAGCUACAGAAUGUCACUGAGUUUGACAACAGACUUCUUCAGACUUUCACUCUGAUGACCGAGAACCCUGAGGUGGCUUAUGCAAACCAGGAUGCAGUCUGGUCCAAGUUUAAUAGUAUCUUCUUCACAAUCUCUGGCCUUGUCCACUAUGCACCAGUGUUCAGAGACUAUGUCUUCCAGGCACUGGAGGAGUUCUACCAGGACAAUGUACUAUACCUGGAGCUCAGAGCCAUGCUGUUCCCGGUGUAUGAACUGAACGGGACUGUCCAUAGCCAAGAGUGGUCAGUGAAGACUUACAGAGAAGUGGCUUGUAUGUUUGCAGAAAAGCAUCCUGGGUUUAUUGGAAUCAAAAUCAUUUAUUCGGAUCACAGAGCCAAAAAUGUGUCCUUCAUCAUGAAAUCCAUCCAAACAGCCAUGACGCUCCGAACCAUGUUCCCCAGGAUGGUGGCAGGGUUUGACCUGGUGGGACAUGAGGACACUGGCCACUCCUUGUAUGACUACAGGGAGGCUUUGAUGAUUCCCACCUUGCAUGGCGUUAAACUGCCUUACUUUUUCCAUGCUGGAGAGACAGACUGGCAGGGUACUUCCAUAGAUAGAAACCUUCUGGUUGCUCUAAUACUGAACUCUACCAGGAUUGGCCAUGGAUUUGCUUUGACCAAACACCCAGCAGUCUGGGCUGACUCCUGGAAGAAGGAUAUCCCCAUAGAAGUCUGUCCCAUCUCCAACCAGGUUCUGAAACUGGUGUCUGACUUGAGAAACCAUCCUGCUGCUGUUCUGAUGGCCACUGGGUACCCCAUGGUGAUCAGUUCUGAUGACCCAGCAGUCUUUGGUGCCAAAGGCUUGUCCUAUGAUUUCUAUGAGGUCUUCAUGGGUAUUGGGGGAAUGGCAGCUGAUCUGAGGACACUCAAACAACUGGCCAUGAACUCUAUCAGGUUCAGUACCUUGAUGGAUAUUGAUAAAAAAGCUGCCAUGAAAACCUGGGAGGAGAGAUGGAAUAAGUUUGUAGCUGACCUGGCCGGGAGGCCAAAGUGAGAAGACAGUCAUUUAUUACCCUAUUCCUCUGCUUCCCUCUGCAAGCUGUUUUCACCUUCUGUCAAUCAUUCUUGAACCCACACCAGUAUAGUUUCUACCUCCAUUCCUUUAUCAAAAUUGACAUCAUGAAGGUCAUCAAUGGCCUCGACAUUGAUUAUCCUCUCAGGAACACUUAAACAUUCUACCAGACUCAUCGUUUUGAAGUAUUCUUUUCUCUCAACCCCAGUGACAUCAAUGCUCUUGGUUUCCUCCUUUCUCUCUGGCCAUUGCUUCUGGGGUCCCUUUGUCAGUUGCUCUUCUCUAUCAGAUUUCUGUGUUGGAUUUCCUCAGGACUUAGUUUUGCCUCUCUUGUAUUCAUGUCUCUGGUUCUUCUCCUCUUCGUUUUCUCUUACUUUAUAGUGUUUUCCUGGCAGUCUCAUUCACUCCUUUGCUUUUAAAUACUAUUUAUUUGCUGAUGAUCCCCAAAUUUAUUUAUUUACUUGUAUCCUUCACAAGAAUCUCAGAAACCUACUAUGUGCAAUUCUCAAUCUCUUCCCUUUUAACCUUUUCCUGGUCUUUCCCAUCUUGGCAAAUGUCACCUCCAUCCAUUCUACCCAGGUGUUGAGAGCAGAAAUUUUCAGUGAAAUUGUUGAUACUGGUCUCUCCCCUGUUCCCUGCAACAAAAUGUAUCUUGAAUCCUCCAUGCCUCUCUACCUGUGUUGCUAUUGGCUGAGUUCAAACCACUAUCACUUCUUGUCUGAGUUAUAACGGUCUCUUAAUUGAGCUCUCUUUCUUCUCUUUGACUUCUUCAUUUCAUUUUUCACAGAGCAAUGGCUUUUUAAAAAUUAAAUUAAAUCAGGUUACACUGCUUACAACUCAGUGCUCUUAGAAAAAUCCAAAUGUUUCAACAGGGCAUGUGGCAUCCUGUUUAACCUGGAUUCCUUUCAGCAUCAUCCUACCCCAGUCUCCCCCAGUGUACCAGAUGUUGGCCUCACUGGUCCUUUGUUCCUCAAAUAUCCCAAACCCUAUUCUGCAUCAGAGUCUUUUCUCAUUCUUUCUGCCUGGGAUAUUCUUUCUUUCCACUUUUGUCUAACUGACUCCUGUUCACCCUUAAGGUUUCACAUUUCAUGUCAUUGUCUCAGAAAUGUUUCCUAGACCCCUAAUCUAUUAAUAUCUCUCAUGGCACCUUGCUUUUUUUCCUUCGUGACUCUUAGCAUAAUUUGUAAUUAUAUAUUUAUUUCUGUGUUGAUAGUCUCCCUCCCACCAGACUGUAAGCUCCAUGUGAGCAGGAGCUAAUGAUUGUUUCAUGUACAUUGUGAACACAGAGCCUAGCUCCAUGCCCCAAACCUAGUUAGUAUUCAACAAAAGAUGUGUUGAAUGAAUAGAUAUAACUGUAUGCAUUGAGCCAGUUGCUGAAGCAGGAGGGAACAGAGCAGAGUCUCCCCAAAGAAAAGACCUCAUGUGAUCAAAUUCUGGCUCAUAGCCUAGUCUUCAGGAGAAGGAAGGCAUGAAGCCAGCUCUGUCUUCACUUGACUAAAGGAUGCGAAGAAGGAUCAAAAAAUUCCUUAAAACUCACAGAUGGAUUCAAAUAUCUUCUCAUCCAUCAGCCAUCACCUGAUCUGAGCUCAUAGGCAGCAGCCAACCGUCCCUCCAUUAGUAAUUUAUCACUGUUUGGUUCAUGACACUGGGAAAAGUCUUGCUGAUUAGGGGUCCUCAACCAUAGACUGGUACCCAGAUGGAACAAGAUGACCUUUAAGAUCCUGUCUAAUUCUGACAGUCUUUGAUUUAUUGCCUUAACCAAUCCCAGUAGAUAGCACAUAGGUCCCAGCUCAACUGACUCACAUUUAAUAAAUGGUGAAAAUGGAACUUAGCUGAAUGGGCUUUUGUAGCAAGUUGCCAUGGCUACAGGGGUCCCCCAGGAGCAUAAGGUCUCUGGCCUAGACUUGGUGUGAUCACUGAUUUGGCAAAUUAAACCAGCUACAAGUCUUGUCUUCAUGCUUGGUUCAAUAGGCUGAGUCCUAGCAAAGAACUAGAAACAUCAACAGAACCAGACCCUGAGUUAUGAAAAUGUGGGAAAUAGGUUGUAGCCCCCUUGGAACUGAGUAAUAUUUCUUCUAGGGGUAGUUAAAUCUGAUUUCACGUAUUCCUCCUGUAGGACUUCCCAGAAGGUACCCUGACAUAUGUUUUUUUGAAAAACUUGCAUAUUAAUUGAAUUUUUGUAAACGAAAUCAUGCUGUACCUGGCGCUUACUAUUUAUUUAAAGGAAAUCUGAAGUGAAUUGUCUGGGUUGGAAAAACCUAAUGUCCAGGGCACCAAGACUCCUUGACUUGCCAGGCUUAUUGUACAAGUCCCCAUCAUAUGGCUUAUGAUGAAUGCCCUGGUCCAUCCCCCUCCUCCUGGGUCCUGGAGCUUUUUGUCAGUUGGCACAGCUCCCAGGAAGGGCAGGGAGACUUCUGGAAAUUCAAACUGAGGGAAUGUUGUUGGAGAUGUGAAUCAUCUUAUUUCCCAACAGGUGAGAAUUUGGGAUCCAGACUCAGAGAAACCCUGGAGCAUUUUUCUUAUUAUCUUGAAAUAACCUUCAGAAAAGUUGCAAGAAUAGUACAAAGAACUCUAACAUACUCUGUCUAGGUUUCCAAAUUAUUGACAUUUUAUAACAUUUGCUGUAUCAUUCUCUCUAUGUAUCUGUAUCUCUUUCAAUGUCUGCAUGAUAUAUCCUAUUUUUUCUAACCAAUUGAGACUUAAGAUGCAGACAGUAUGGCCCAUUACUUAUAAACACUCCAGUCUACAUUUGCUGAAGACAGUGUCAUUCUCCUAUGUAACCACAGUUUAACCAUCCAAAGCAGGAUAUUAACAUUGAUAAGAUACUACCAUCUCUCCUGGCCCUUCCAGGCAUGUUUCUUCUCUCUGCCCAGAACCUGACCCAGGAUCACAUGUUACAUUUAGUUAUCUCUUGUCUCUUUCAGUCUGGAACAGUUCUUCAGUAUUUCCUUGUCUUUUGUGAUGUUGACAUUUUUUAAAAAAGUUUUUAUUUAUUUAUUUUGAGAGAGAGAGAGAGAGCGAGUUUGUGCAUGCGUGCAGGAGCAGGGGAGGGGCAGAGAGAGUGAGAAUUCCAAGCAGGCUCCUUGCUGUCAACACAGAGCCCACCUCAGAGCUCAAUGCCACAAACCAUGAGAUCAUGACUGGAGCUGAAAUUAAGAGCCAGAUGCUCAACUGACUGAGCCACACACUCAGGUGCCUUGUGACCUUGAUUUGAAGAGUACAGACCGGUUACUUUGUAGUGUCUCUCAUUUCAGGCCUAUAUAAUGUUUCCUUGUGAAGAGAUGCCAGUUACACAUUCUUAGGAGGAAUACCUCAGAAGUAUCUUUGUCCUUCUCAGUGCAUCAUAUCAGGGGACACAUGGAUUGUGUCCCCUGGAGGUGGUCUGCACCAGCAAGCAACAGCCAAUUGUUAAAAUUUCAGCCUGUUGUGAAACCAAUGGUGGUCUGAAAUUGGUCAUCAUGGGAGUUUUUGUAAUAUGUAUAAAUAUAUUUUAAGUAAGUUCCAGGCCCAACGUGGAGCUCAAACUCAUGACACUGAGGUUAAGAGUCAGCCAGGCAGCUGAGUCAUUGGAGGAAUUUUUACAUUACAGAAAUCAGCAAAUACAAAUCAGUGCGCACCCAGCCCCCGCUCCCCAGCCAGUAGUUAAACAUUUAUCUGUAUACUGAGGCAUAUAAUGUCAAUCUGUCCCAUUGUGAUGAUGUUCACUUUAAUCACUUUGUUAAGGAAAUGUCUGCCAGGAUUUGACACUGUAAAACUUUCUACUUUGUGAUUAAUAAAUAUUUAAUGGGGAGACACUUUAA